UGAAGCGACAGUGAGAAGUGACAGGGUAGUAUUUUAGAGCAGUAAAAGAGAAAAUGAAUUUAUAGCAAGAGAUAUAGGGUUUGGCGUGAAACUGAUAGAUAUUACACACUGAAAAAGAGAGAGAGAGUAAUAACAAAUUAGAAAGACAGAAAGAAACACAGGGAGAAAGAGAGGGAAGUUGGGAAGAAAUAGAGAGAGCGCGGUGGCGGAUUGAAAUGCACAACUACGUAGAAAGUCUAGUCGGUGAGAUGUAGUGAGAGGUUGCUGACUGUGGAAGUAGCUAUGGUGUCAUUCACUGAACCUUCUCCCUGGAGGAAUGAAACAGAAAACGUUGUGAGACAGGGGAAAAGAGGGGUUUUCAAGAGUAUUGCUUGGUCUGCCUACUGUACUGCUGCCUACGAAUAUUUUACUCCAGAUGAUGGAUUAAUUUGCGGUGAGAUUUGGUUGCUAUCUCUUGUAUAAGGUGAGAUUUGGUUGCUAUCUCUUGAUUGGAUCCAGAAAAAAGGUCACAAAAAAAAUCACAGAAAAAGAGUCACUGAAAAAAACAUUUACUGGAAAAAAAUCACUGUAAAAAUAUGUUUGUUGCCUCGGAAGAACCAGAAGACUAUGGCAAAGUUUCUUCAUGGCGUCGGCUGGAAUAUUCGUUUUAGUGAUCAAUUAACAUUAAAUAUACUAAAUAUACAUGUAAUGUUACGAUACUAUGUAAAAUGUUUUCAGGCCGUACAUCUCAUUUAUUGUCAAUAAAU